ACAGGGUGAAUAUUUCCAGGAAGAAGCAAGAAAGUCCUCACAAGACUCUGAGUGGAUGCCAGCACCAUACUUUACAGUCUCUGAAACUAGGAAAAAUAAAAGGCUAUGUCUGCGGACAUCAGAGUCAUGCCAAGGAAAAGAAAGAAGACACUGGGGCAAUACUUAUGGGAUGAGGGAAGUGCAGAAGAAAACAUAAGAAAAGUGGAGCAGAAGACCCAAAGAGAACUUUGGUUUUGCCAAGAUUCCUACAUUCUGCCAGAGAGUGUGGUCCCUGAAUGUUUUGCUGUCGGGGGAACCGACAGUCCCUACAGUCCUCCUCCUGCCACUGACCCAAGUGUGAGAAGAAGGAAAACCGGAAGUGCCAAAAUUUCACAGACUGAAGGGGGAGGUGGUGACUUCCCUGUCUACUUCUUUUUAACUGGUUUCUUUUUUAUUCAAACUCAUUUGACUUUGGGUUCCAUAUUUAUUUUUCUCUUUGAAACUGGAUUUGACAUUAUUAGCAGGUCCAUCUGCUAGCUUUUCUUAAAUAGCAUGUAAACUAGUGUUAGUUUUGAAUUUCAGGUGCUCUUAGGUUUGACUCUACUGUUCAUUUCCUGAGGCAGUUUGGACAUUGUGGUGAAUGUUUCGCUGCCAAGAAUAUAGAAGCCUGGCUGUUUAGAAUCUUUAAUUUCUUUGAGUGAGUGUGCAUUUUAGGAUUUAAAAAUUUCUCAGUUUUUAAUAGGCUUGUUUGCCUUACAACUGUUUUCUUUCUUCCCUUCUCAUUCUUUCCUGUCCCAUGGCCCCACAUUCAUGGUCCUAACAUGUUUCUUUUCAUCACCUAUGGAGUCCAAGACAAGUCACUGUUUCUUUCUCAAAAAAAUAAAAAGAAAAUGUGUAUACAGGA